UGAUACCAGGGUCAAAAGGCCAUGCGUUUCAUGCUUGCAUGAAAAAGCAUGACCUUGGGACCCUACAUCAUUGAAGUGAUAAGGAAGUGUAUAUUGUGUCAGGAAUAAUGAAAAGAGAGCUGCACAUCCGCGGGAUGAGCUGUGUCA
rnacentral:sRNA from 1 species